AUUGAACGCUGGCGGCAUGCCUUACACAUGCAAGUCGAACGGCAACACGGGAGCAAUCCUGGUGGCGAGUGGCGAACGGGUGAGUAAUGUAUCGGAACGUGCCCAGUCGUGGGGGAUAACGUAGCGAAAGCUACGCUAAUACCGCAUACGAUCUGUGGAUGAAAGCGGGGGACCGUAAGGCCUCGCGCGAUUGGAGCGGCCGAUAUCAGAUUAGGUAGUUGGUGGGGUAAAGGCCUACCAAGCCGACGAUCUGUAGCUGGUCUGAGAGGACGACCAGCCACACUGGGACUGAGACACGGCCCAGACUCCUACGGGAGGCAGCAGUGGGGAAUUUUGGACAAUGGGCGCAAGCCUGAUCCAGCAAUGCCGCGUGCAGGAUGAAGGCCUCCGGGUUGUAAACUGCUUUUGUACGGAGCGAAAAGGCUCUCUCUAAUACAGGGGGCUCAUGACGGUACCGUAAGAAUAAGCACCGGCUAACUACGUGCCAGCCGCCGCAGUAA
rnacentral:rRNA from 1 species